rnacentral:rRNA from 1 species
ACGAACCGUGCGAACGUUGUUCGGAAUCACUGGGCUUAAAGGGCGCGUAGGCGGGCGGCAAAGUCCGGGGUGAAAUCUUUCGGCUUAACCGGAAAAUAGCCUUGGAUACUGGUCGUCUGGAGGGUGGUAGGGGCAUGUGGAACUUCCGGUGGAGCGGUGAAAUGCGUUGAUAUCGGAAGGAACGCCGGUGGCGAAAGCGACGUGCUGGACCACUUCUGACGCUGAGGCGCGAAAGCCAGGGGAGCAAACGGG